rnacentral:lncRNA from 1 species
CUGGACUCUCGAGAGCAGCUUUGGAGAGGCCUGAACUCCCUUGGAAGCGAAGCGUUCGGCUCCUUGAGGAGCUCUUUCUCUGCAGCUCAUCUCCUCGGAUGUUCUGGCCCUCUUGGAUGGACCACCACUGGGGCUCCUUCGCGAGUGAAUCUUAAGACGAGGAGAACCUCUUCCCACUUCGAGCGUCCUCAGAUGCUUUAGG